rnacentral:sRNA from 1 species
UUUUUCCUCCCUUCCUCCCCUCUGCCUCCCUCCACCUCCCCCUUUUCUUUUUUGCUGAAUCUUAUUGAUCCAGAAGGUGGCUAAUUAGCCCUUCCCGUCGUGCCUGGCUCCCACUUCCAGCGCGUCCCCUCCGACCGCUGCAGCCGCCACCGCCGCCGCCUCCUCCUCCUCCUCCUCCCGGCCGCAGCCGCCGCCGCCGCCGCCGCCUGCUUUGCAUCCCAAUUACAGCCUAGAGCCGCUGCCGC